GAUGAACGCUGGCGGCGUGCCUAAUACAUGCAAGUCGAGCGAACAGACGAGGAGCUUGCUCCUCUGACGUUAGCGGCGGACGGGUGAGUAACACGUGGAUAACCUACCUAUAAGACUGGGAUAACUUCGGGAAACCGGAGCUAAUACCGGAUAAUAUAUUGAACCGCAUGGUUCAAUAGUGAAAGACGGUUUUGCUGUCACUUAUAGAUGGAUCCGCGCCGCAUUAGCUAGUUGGUAAGGUAACGGCUUACCAAGGCAACGAUGCGUAGCCGACCUGAGAGGGUGAUCGGCCACACUGGAACUGAGACACGGUCCAGACUCCUAGGGGAGGCAGCAGUAGGGAAUCUUCCGCGAUGGGCGAAAGCUUGACGGAGCAACGCCGCGUGAGUGAUGAAGGUCUUCGGAUCGUAAAACUCUGUUAUUAGGGAAGAACAAAUGUGUAAGUAACUAUGCACGUCUUGACGGUACCUAAACAGAAAGCCACGGCUAACUACGUG
rnacentral:rRNA from 1 species